AGGCCCAUAGCUCAGUGAUAGAGCAUUUGCUUCACGUGCAGAAGGUCCCAGGUUCAAUUCCCAGGUGGGGCUA